rnacentral:lncRNA from 1 species
AUUCAGAGAAUAAGCACUGGAAAGAAUUACAUAGAACUUAAGCCAGUGAAUGUAUUAGAGCGGUGGAAUAUUUCCCCCAUUAAUUUAACAGAGAUGCUUUACGUGCCAGAGAUAAAAGUCAGGGACAAGUACAAGGUCUGCCUACCAACUCAUUGUCUGGGCAGGCUCAAAUGUCUGGCUUAUAUCUACCUGAUCUCUUAGAAAGCAGCCCUGCAGUUCCCAUCGUGGCACAGUGGAAACGAAUCUGACUAGCAUCCAUGAGGGCACAGGUUCAAUUCCUGGACUCGCUCAGUGGGAUAAGGAUCCAGCAUUGCCAUGAGCCAUGGUAUAGGUCGCAGACAUGGCUCGGAUCUGGCGUUGUGNAAAAAAAAAAAAAAAAAAAAAAAAAGAAAGAAAGAAACCAGCCCUGUGGACUGAAAGGAGGUAGCUUCACCCUGUGAUCUCUCCCCUCAGGCUAUGAUAGCUCUUUUGGUUCAAGACUUGUGACCUCAAUGAACAGGAUUCAUUUUGUCCCAAAGUACAAAGCUAACUGUGCUCAUUUGAUUAGCCCAAACUCUGUAAAAGCCUUAUGUUCAGUAACUCAUAGUUGUAUCAGGUACUUAAGAGCUUUCGGCACAGCCCAGGGAUAGAAACAGGAAUGCUGGGGGCCAAGUCCCCCCCCGCCACCCCCAACUCCUCUCUGUGGGCGUCACACUGCUGGGAAGAAAUAGAGGAACAGCUGGAGGGAGGCAGGGCCCUUGGCAGCAGAGCAUGGUGUCAGAACCCGAUUUGGUGAAGCAGCGCACCAUUGGUAGUUACUUUAGGAGUGCCAAGUUCUUUUGAGCUGCCAAGAAAGAAUGACUGCAGGUGGGUGGGUAGAAGAAAGAAGCAAAGGCAACAACACAAGUCUUUUUCCAAGGAGUGGUGGGAAAUAAGCAAUGGAAAAGCUGUCCUCAGAGAUGUGGUGAGGGUGGGGAGGAACAAAGCAGGCAUGGGGAUGGAGAACCCUAUCCUGCUACACACCAUGGAUGCCCAUAGACUGGGACCUGGAGCAGUGGUUCUGAGACUCACGAGGAGGUGAGUGAGG